rnacentral:rRNA from 1 species
AUUGAACGCUGGCGGAAUGCUUUACACAUGCAAGUCGAACGGCAGCACGGGGCAACCUGGUGGCGAGUGGCGAACGGGUGAGUAAUACAUCGGAACGUGCCCAAUCGUGGGGAUAACGUAGCGAAAGUUACGCUAAUACCGCAUACGAUCUACGGAUGAAAGCGGGGGAUCGCAAGACCUCGCGCGAAUGGAGCGGCCGAUGUCAGAUUAGGUAGUUGGUGGGGUAAAGGCUCACCAAGCCAACGAUCUGUAGCUGGUCUGAGAGGACGACCAGCCACACUGGAACUGAGACACGGUCCAGACUCCUACGGGAGGCAGCAGUGGGGAAUUUUGGACAAUGGGCGCAAGCCUGAUCCAGCAAUGCCGCGUGCAGGAUGAAGGCCUUCGGGUUGUAAACUGCUUUUGUACGGAACGAAAAGCUUCGGGCUAAUACCCUGAAGUCAUGACGGUACCGUAAGAAUAAGCACCGGCUAACUACGUG